GUUAAAGCUCGUAGUUGGAUUUCUGCCGAGGACGACCGGUCCGCCCUCUGGGUGAGCAUCUGGCUCGGCCUGGGCAUCUUCUUGGAGAACGUAUCUGCACUUGACUGUGUGGUGCGGUAUUCAGGACUUUUACUUUGAGGAAAUUAGAGUGUUUCAAGCAGGCAUACGCCUUGAAUACAUUAGCAUGGAAUAAUAAGAUAGGACCUCGGUUCUAUUUUGUUGGUUUCUAGAUCUGAGGUAAUGAUUAAUAGGGAUAGUUGGGGGCUUCUGGUCCAGUUUUG
rnacentral:rRNA from 1 species